rnacentral:rRNA from 1 species
UACAGAGGUGGCAAGCGUUGUUCGGAAUUACUGGGCGUAAAGGGCGCGUAGGCGGCCGCCUAAGUCAGACGUGAAAUCCCCAAGCUUAACUUGGGAACUGCGUCUGAUACUGGGGGGCUUGAGUUCGGGAGAGGAAUGUGGAAUUCCAGGUGUAGCGGUGAAAUGCGUAGAUAUCUGGAGGAACACCGGUGGCGAAGGCGGCAUUCUGGACCGAAACUGACGCUGAGGCGCGAAAGCCAGGGGAGCAAACGGG